AGAAAUUUAGGUUAAUUAAACCAAGAGCCUUCAAAGCUUUAAAUAGGGGUGAAACCCCUCUAAUUUCUG
rnacentral:tRNA from 1 species